CAACAGAGGUAGAAAAAUAUAGCAUCAGCGGCUGCUACCACUCAUAAUAACCAUGGGUACAGGACUGAAAACCCACAUGAAAAAACUUCCUGUUAGUUGCUAAUAUUUUUUGAGCACCUACUAAUUAUGAUUUGGUGAGGAGAAAUAGAGUGUGGCUGCCUAGAAAUUUGAUAAAGUAUAAUCAGAGUGGCUCCAGGUAUUGGGUAUAAGUGUAGGAAUGGAGCUGAGUUUAGUAAAAUCAAAGUAGUCUUAUUAUCUAGCAUUGAUUGAGUUCUUACAUGCCACACACCAUACUAAGCACCUGCAAGGAUCAUCUUUUUAGUUAGCACAGUAGUCAUAUGAGUUGGUAUUAUUAUCCUCAUAUUUUGGAUGAGGGAACUAACACUUAGGCUACCUUGCCCAAGUUCACAUAGCAGAAAAUGUGUAACAGAUAUUUGAAGUCAGGUCUGGGCAGCUCCAGAACCUGCACAGCUACCAUGCCUCCCAAAAGGCGGUGUAUCUCCUGUGACCUGCAGACUUUAUACCAUGGCUGCAAACACCUGAUGUAAUAUUCCACUGCCUGCACAGCAUUGCCUUUCACAAUGCUGGGUCCCUUUACUUCCCAACUGUUUUUUCAGGCUAGAAUCUUAUAUCUUUUUCAACAAAUAUUUUCUUUUUUUUUUGUUUUUUGUUUGUUUGUUUGUUUUUGUUUUUUUUCCUUGGCUGCACCAGCAGCAUGUGGAAGUUCCAGAGCCAGGGAUUGAACCUACACCAUAGCAGCAAGUCAAGCCACUGCAGUGACAAUGCCAGAUCUUUAAGCUGCUGAGCCACAAGAGAAUUCCUCAACAAAUAUUUUUAAAUGAUGCUACCAUGUGCAAAACACUGUUCCAAGUUACGGUGAUAAGCAAGGCAAAAGGGCCCUCCCAGAAUGCAGCAUGCAUGCUUUUUGGGGUGGGGGGCAGGGGAAGACAGAGAAUAAACAAGUAAAUAAAUAAAUCCAGACUGUGUUAAAUGGCAUAAAGAUUAAACCAAAUGAUGUGAGAGAGAAUAACCUGAAGGAAAGGGCCAGUUUAGAUGGGACUAGUUGAGGAAGCCACAUUGAUUCUGGUUUCUGAAGGUUGAAAGAUUGAGAUUUGAACUAUCAUGUGAAGAAAUCUGGAAGAGCAGUCUAGCACAUGGAAGAGGGAAAAAGUGUGUGUCUAUAUCUAUAGAUGUGUGUAUAUGUAUAGUCAUCUCAUCACCAAAGUUCCAGAAUCUGGGGGAUGCUGGUGAAUUGGGUGUAUGCACAUUACUUUGACAAUGACAGCAGAGGAAAGGGGAGUCUUCCCAAAAUUAGGGACAUACAAAUUUCUCUUACAGCUUCCCUGUUUUCUGGGUGAAGUCUCCUCUGAAU
rnacentral:lncRNA from 1 species